UCUCCGCACCUUGCCUUUACAAGUCCCUUUCCGUGUGAAUGUAAAAUAUUUAAAAUUAUAUUUGUAACUGUAUUCAUGCAAGGAUGACUAUAAUCCUAGAGGAGGACUGAGAAGAGGACCACCGGUGGGGGCAGUGCAGACUCCACAAGGCCCCUCUGGGAAGGCAGAAAGGGCGGGCAGGCCGUUCAGUGGGAGAACUCGGGGUUCACUGCUAGUGCCCAUCCCCCCUCACCUGGUGAGUGUGGGCCCCGGAAGGCAGUGAAGAGCGCAGAAACUCUGAGCAGGCUCCGUGCUCGCCCCAGUGUGGCCUCUGAGAGCCUCCGGAAGCGGCGCGCGCGAUCUGGGCCGGUCGAGCCCGGGGAACCCCGAGGGGCAGCGGGGCGGGGCGGAUCCGGGGCUCGGGCGGGCCGGGCUGAGCUCUGCGGCGCGGCGCUGCUAGCACUGGCAGCAGCGUGCUCCGCGUCUUGCGCUUCCUGCGCGGCUUCUUCAAGUCCAAGCUCCUUGGCUGUUCCCUCAUCUCAGAAAAUGGCCAUCCUGCUCCCCUCCUGCCAUGAUAAGGUGGUAAUGGUCUCUCACUGAACCUGUUCUGCAUGGCUCCUGAGAUACCUGGUCCAGACUUCUGGGGAUGAGGACGGGGCUGCUUGCAAGACUCUGAAGGCCCUCAUCUGUGACUCUUUCCUGGGUCCUGGCAUCCUGCCCCAUAUGACUGUGCACUUCAGUGGACAUGAGCAAAGCUGUCUUCUGGGCUGUGACUUCCUAUGUGAUGAGCUCCUUGGGACGCUCUGAGGAAAGACUGAGGUUUACAGUUGGACCUGGUGAGGAGGAUUUAAGGAAGCAAGGUUUAGCUCUAGACUGGACGUCAUUAGGGAAUGAAGGCCUUUCUGGGACCAGGCAUCUUUAGUUUCUUUUCUGUUUACAGUGCUGGGCCUCAUGUGCUAGGCAAGUGACCCGUGUGAGCAGGCGGCACAGGCUGGUGGCAGGGUGCUGUCCUUCCUUGAUCCAUCUUGGUUAGCCUGGCAUCUCAUAUUCAGCACAAGAGCACCAGAGCCCCGCAGGGACACCAGGCCAGCUCCCUCUGUCAGGGACUGUGGUCCUCUCUGUCUUUUUUAUUUUUUAGAUAGGAUCUCACUAUCUGCCUACCACAGCCUCCCGAGUGUUGGGAUUAUAGGCAUGUGCCACCUUACCCAGCGAUGUAGAUGUAGUUGUCUGUCUGUCUCUCUCUCUUGCUCUCUCUCCAUACUUGGAAAUGAGCAUUUUGAACCAUACACAUUGGGUGUGUGUCCAAUUCCCUCAGGAACUUUACCCACAGCCUCGUGUUGAGGCCACUCUUGGCCCCAUAACAAUUCUGUGGGGGAGGCCUGGUUAGGCAAAAGCCCCAGGCAGUUACCAUAAGUAUUCUGUCUGAGCUCUGGGUAUGUCACUGAUUUGUGGGUUCUGCUAAGCUUCAAUCCUAUUUAUUUCUUAAUUUCCCUUAAGACUUUCUCUUUGACCAUGGAAGUGUCAUUUGCUUUUCAGUAGGGCAUUUUUAUUGGUUUUCUGUUAUUUUCAAUUGGUUUCAUAUGGCCAGAGAACAUAUGCUGUAUGAUAGCAACUGUUUUAAAUAUUUUUAGGUUUGUUUGGUGACUCAGGGAAUGGUCUAUACGGCGCCGCGGGCAACGAAAGACGUAACUGUGUUUGGAUCAGCUCUCAAUAUUUAUUGUGUACAGCGAAGCUGGAUCUGACAAGAUCCACCACCCUCAAGUUUCUUCCUCUUCUGCCCGUUGGGGGCAGAAACACACACUUAUAUAGGAUCUGAGUAACCAGUCAAUACGAAGCAGAAGUCGCAUGCUGAUAGGCCACAGUCACCGGUAGCUAGGUAGACACUCAUUUUGGCAGGGUUGUUUGCGCGGCAACAGGGACCCGGAAGCAGGAAACGGGCGCCAUCUUAGGGGAGCGGCUCGAGCAACCCCCAACAAUGGUCUAUGUUGCUAAGUGUUUCAUAGACAUCUGAAAAGAAUGCGUAUUUUGCUGAUGUUGGGUAAACUGUUGUGUACAGAGCAGAUACAGUUUGGUGAUGACCUCCUCAGCUGGUUAUCUUUGCUGAUUUUGUGUCUAGUAGUCUUAUCAAUUGUUGGUAGAGGGGUUUGUACUCCCCAAGUAUAAUUGUGGAUUUUCCUCUUUUUAUUUAAUUUGUAAAAUUCUACUCAUUUGUUUUUCAUGUGGUUUGAAGCUCUGUCAUUUGGUACAUACACAUGUAACAUUGAUAUAUCUUGUUGGAAUGAUUUUUUUAUCAUUAUUAAAUUUCAUUCUUUGUCCCAGUAAUUUUUUUUUGCUCUGACAUUUAUGUUACCCAAUAGCAGUACAACCACUCCUGCUUUUUUCUUUAAGUUAAUAUUAAAAUAUAUCUUUUUCUACUCUUUACCUAUGUUGCUAUAUUUGAAAUGAUUUUUUCCUAGAUGUCAUAAAAUUGGAUCAUUAUUUGGAUCUACUAUACCAAUCUAUAUUUUAAUGUCAUAUUUAGACCACUCCAUUUAAAAUAACUAUUGGAAUGUUAGAACCUAAACUUGUUAUUUUAAUAUUUGCUUUCUUUUUGUUUCCUCUUUUUUUCAUUCUUGGCUUUCUUUGGUCUGUCUUUCCUAGCGGUUACACUUUUUGUUGGACUUAGUAUCAUUUUAUGGGACUUAGUAUCAUUUUAUUUAUACUCUUUUUUUUAAAUGUCAGUAUUUUGUAAUUUUCUUAUUGUUUGUUCCAGGCAUGACAGUGUAGAUAUACGACUAAUAACUACCUACUAGAGUGGAUUUUUCAUCACUUCUGGUGAUAUAUUAAAACCUUAUUUCCAUUUAGAUUCCUUUAUAAUCCUCCUUAAAAAUACAUUUUUCAAAGAGAGGAAAACAAAGUGCUCUAAAGGAUACAACUGCAAAUGUGUUUAGGUGUGUUAAGAUAGAUAACUAUAUUACUAAGUUUUUGUUGGAUCAUUGAACACAACUGUUUACAGUCUUACUGCUUGAAUGUCCACUUUGUAUGCUUUAAUCCUGUAACUUGAGCAACUAUUUCUAAGAUGACAAUGUGUAAUCUAUUAGCUAGUGAUUUCUUACUGUUUUUUAUGAAAUUCUGUAUUACUUGUACCCUUACACUGUUUUGUUUUUUUCUCCUUUAAAUAAAAUUUUUUUAAAAUACAUUUUUCAAGGAUUUCAUCUAUAUAAAUUGAACAGCACAAUAAAUAUUAUAAUUUUUGCUUCAUUCGUCAAAAAUGCUGUUAUGAUUUGAAUGUGUCUCCUCUCAAAUUCAGAUGUUGCCAGUGAAGUAUUAUUAAGGGGUAUGAAAGUAUUAGGUCGUGAGGGCCUCUCCCUUCAUGAGUGUGAUGACCCUGUGUAACCCUAUGUAAAAGAGGGUUCACCAAGCAUUCAGGUUGCCCUUCUGCCUUUGGCCAGGUGAAGACAAAAUAUCCCUCCCCUCUGGAAAAUGCAGGCUUCAUUAGAAGGCAGUGUCUGCUGGUACCUUGAUUUUGCACUUGCCAGCUUUUGGCUGUGAGAAACAAAUUGUUAUUUAUAAAUUACCUAUUCAUAACCUUGAUUAUUUUGUUACAUUGCCACCAAAAGGACUAAGACAUUUGUUAUAGGAAAUUCAUUAGGAUAGUUUAUUACACCUGCCUCUGUUUUAUCUCUUCUACUGUUCUUUUCUAAGUUGAAAUCUCCCAUAACUAUUUCUUUUGUCUGGUAGUUUUCUUCUUCAUUAUUCUAGUUAGGAACUCUAGGAGAGUCUCUCUUAGCCACUUUUUAAGAGUAGGUUUGCUCACAACAAAUCCCCAUCAUUUUCCUUUGUCUGAGAUUAUCUUGAUUUCCACUUCACUAUUAAAAAUCUGUGUCCCUGGGUAUUGCGUUUUUUAUGGAAUAUUCUUUCUUAUAGUAUUUUUAAGAAUAUAUAGGUUUCUUCUGGUCUUCAUGGUUUCAAAUGAGAAAAGGCUAUCACUUAAGUUGUAUUCUUCUGAGAGUAAUUAUUAUCAGCUUUCUGUUAUUAUAACAAAUAUCUAAGUUAAUAAGUUUAUGAAGAGGAAAAAUUUAUUUUGGCUCUAAUUUUGGAAGUUUCCAGUUGGCUGGCCAUCCCCAGGGCCUUCAGCCUGUGAUAGCACAGUAUAUCAUGAUGUGAGGGGUCAUGGCCAGAUGGGAAAAACAGAGGAGUGCGCUGGAGGACCAUAUCAAGAACACACCCAUGACCUGGUUUCAUGUCUUCCACUAGGUUUCAUUGUCUUAAAGGCUCUCUUGCCUCCCAUCAGUCCCAACCCAGAGACACAUGCUUCAUGAGACAUUUCGGAUUCAAACUAUGGCAAUAAUGCCUUGUUUUUCUGUGGUUUCUACGGUGAUUUUGUUUCAUUUUAAUUUUCACAAGCUUAAUUAUAAUGUUUUGGGGCAUAGGUUUCUCUAAGCUUAGCUUAUUUGGGAUGGAUUCAGCUCCUUGACUCUAAAAAGUAUGUCUCAUACCAUAUUUGGGAUGCAUCAAGAAUUAUUUGUUUGUUUCUUCUCUGUCUCCAGGACUUCAGUGACACAAAUAAUGCCAAAGCUAUGAUCACUUUUCUCUCCUCCAUUUUCUUUCUGUGGUUCAGGAUGCUGUUGAUUCCUCCCAAGUUCAUGAAGUCUGUUUUCCAUCCCCUCCACUCUACUUCUUAACCUAUUAAUUCAGUUUUAUUUUUAGCCAUUACAGUUUUUAACUUCAUGAUAUCUACUUUCUUUCUAUAUUUGCUUCUAUCAUUAGAGUUUUUCUAAUUUUACAUUUGGUCUCAAGAAUAUUCAUAAUUGCUUCUUUAAGCAGUUUUUGGUUGACUGCAUCAAAAUCUGUCAGAUUGUACCACCUGAUUCUCUAAGUGUUGGAUCAGCUGUUUUUUCUUAUCUAAGCUAUGGUUUUUCUGAUUCUUGGCAUGAUGUGUGAUUUCCAGGUACAUUUUAAAUAUUCUUGGUAUUAUGUUAAGACUCUUGAUCCUAUUUACAUUUUUUGGUUUUGCAAGCAUCUGUCUUAUCUAGAUUGAGCAUGUAGAUCUAGCCCAUUUUAUUGGCUAUAAUUGCAACACCAUUUCAGUUUUGGGAUUUCUGUGUUUGUUCGUUUCUUUGAAAAAGGAUCUCUCUCUCUGCAGUUCAGACUGGUGUUCACUACAUAGUAUAGGCUGGUCUCCAACUCACAGUGAUCUUCUGCAUUAGCUCCCAAUUGCCAGGGUUACAGGUGUGCACCACCCUGCCUGACUUUUGUUUCUUGGUUGGUUCUGUGUUAUCAAGGAUCCAACCUCCAGGUGCUAUGCCACCAAGCUUACAUCCUCCGCCUCUUAUAUUUUUUAUUUUGAGACAAGGGCUUGCUAAUUUGCCAAGUGCGUCUUGAACUGUGAUUCUCUUGCCUCAGCCUCCCAAAAUGCUAAGAUUACAGGUGCGUGGCACUGGGCCUUGCUCACAUUUCAGUUUUCUUAGCCUUUGUACCACUGUCCUAGUCAGCUUCCCUCCCCUUCUUUAUCCCUUAACACCAUAUUGAUGCUGUCUGCAAGAACAGAAGUGGCGUCCUUGGGCAGCUGGCAUUGUUGUGAUGGAGCAGAAAUCCUGACCUACAAGGCAGAGAUUACUUCCUCUUCCCAACCACUUUCACCUGAUGGGCUUGCCACUCUUACCUUUACUGCUGGGUUGGAGAUAUAACUCAGAGGCACAGUGCCUGCCUGACAAACACGAGGUCCUAAGUUUGAUUCCCAAUAUUAAAAAAAAAAAAUUUGAGAAAACCAAAUCUUUGCUACUGCCCCUGGGAAGAGGACAUUCUGCGCUUUUAAGUGCCACUGGCCUGUGUGACUGUCUAUUGUCAUAGGUUUGGGAGAUGCUAGAUGCUUUCUGCUGUUGAGCGAACAGUUCAGAAACAGUAGUCUGCUGGCCUGGCCAGUGCAGGCUCCUGGAAAGUGCAGUGCCAGAGGUGCUUGAUUUCCCCAUGUUCUGGACUGACAGAUCAGCCUGCUGCUGCUGCUGCAUGGUGCAGAGUGCGGCCGGAGGGUGGGUUGGCCUACUAAGGCCCUGGUGUGCCACUUCUGCCCCUAGUUCAGGUGGUUUCUGGUGAUUACCCCUUUCAUGGAGCUUUGGCCAAAGAGAAUGGUCUGCCUGUGUUUUCUUAGAUUCUGCUUUUUCAGUUUGGCAUCCACUAGUUUAAUCACAGAGUCAAGCGAUCUCUCACUUAUGAGCCAGGCCAGAUCCAGUGCCAUCCUCUUUUACCAGUUCUCACACACUAAGUCAGGGUUCCCCUGCCCUAAAUCAGUCCAGAGCUAAGGACUUCCCUGUGCCAUAGAAUCACUCAGAUCUACCAUCCCUGGGUGGUUUCCCUGCCCUGUCUUAUCUUUCCAUUGAAACAGCGAAAGCUGUGGCUUAGAUUAGCCCUUCACGCCUCUGCUUCCUGAGCUGUAGUGGUGCUUACCUUGUGGCCUGCACAAUGAUAUAGUGUCUUCUCUUGGAAACUGUAAUUAACAUUAAUCUUUUCCACACAAUAGACCCUCCACAUUGUCACUUGGUCUCCUUCAUGAAAGUUCCAUGUGUAGAAGGAUCAAGGCUGUGUAACAGUACAAGGAUACAGUUGUAUGAAGGAGUAACUUUAUUAAUCUCUAGCAUGGUAGGAUAAGGCUGACCACAAUUAUUUCAAAAUAAUCGGUAGGGUAGAUUUCAAAUAUUCCCAACACAAAUGGUAGAUGUCUGAGAUACUAGAUAUGGCCAGUUACUGUGAUCUGAUCAUCACACAGUGUGUUCAUGUACUGAAAUGUAACACUGUACUCCAUACAUAUGCACAAUGAUAUGUCAGCUAAAAAAUAUAUCUUUUAAAAUUCCAUGAGUACAGGUGGAACAGACAGCAAGUUUUUUUUCUCUCUACCUUUCCUCCUUCUUCAUUCUAUUUGUUCCUUCCUUUUUUUAUUUUAAAGGGAAUAAAACAAAACAGUAAAAUGAAGCCAAACAGAGAUAGGACAGUAGGAAAUUCACAGUCAUUACUAUAUUACAUAUCGGCAUCCUCUAAAUAGUUGCUUAGACUACUGGCCCCAGGCUUGCAAAGUUCUUCAUUCUUUCUGCCUGUUUGUGGCUACAGGUUCCAGUGCUGUCUGGUUGCCAGUGGACCACAUAUGGGAGAUGAAACAGGAAACCCAAGGAAUCAAGUACUUGUAGUGUUAGCAUAUGAGCAGGCACGUGUAUCCCUUAUGGUCUACGUGGGAGUGAAAUGCAGAAGCUCGCCAACCUCACCGCCCUUCAUCACAGCAUGCAGUACGCUCCGUCUGUGAGCUCCACACUCCCAGGUUCACCCAACUGUAACAUUCACAGGAUCCAUUCGCACUGCAGGGUUCCUCCCCACAUUUCUUGUUUCCUGGUCUCUUCAAUGAAUCACUUAGUCUUCUUAGCCCACUGACUGUAUGUUUUCAAUUCUGUCUGUACAGAAUACAUACAGCACAUGAACCUUGCAGAAAAACACAUACAAACCACAGCACAUGCUACAAAACCAGAAUCUGAGGAAGAUUAAGAACAGAGAAACCACAGGUUGAGAAAUAACAAAGUCAAGAGAAGUAUGCUGGAACAAAGCAAAACAAAACAGAAAAGGGGAGAGUUCAGGGAAGAGAGUGGUGUGGUUGAGUUGAGUGUCGGAACCCAUAGAACAGUCCGAUGGGCUAUGAGAGCACAGCGUGUGUGUCAGCUUCUCUCUUCUGCUGUAACUAACAUCCGUAAACUUGGAGUCUUAAAACACUGUAAGAUUUGUCAAAUGAUGUGGAGCUCAGGAAGACUAGUGUAGGGCUCACGGGACCAAAUGCAACACAUUCACAGGAUCCCUUCGCACUGCAGGGUUCCUCCCCACAUUUCUUGUUUCCUGGUCUCUUCAAUGAAUCACUUAGUCUUCUUAGCCCACUGACACAUCUACUCCGACUUUUAUGCCUGUUUUUUUUUCUCUAUAAAAGGCCACACAAACAAUCCAUCAUAAUCUCCUCAAGUCUUUAACACAACUGCAAAAUCUCUUACCUUAAAUGGUAACACUUAUGGUUCCAGGAAUUAGUACACAAAGAUGGGAUGUGGGAAUACCAGUUUGCCUAUGAUAGUCUAGAAGAAACAGUAGGAAAAAUAGCAACCUUAGGUUGAAGAGCAUUUUCUUAAUUUGAUACAUACACAAAAAUGAUGUAUGAAAAUCAAUGAAUCAGGCUUCACUGAAACAAAAACCUUUGCUCUUCGAGAGAUAUUGAUAACAAAAUUAAAAGGCAAGCCACAGCCUAGAAGACACUAUUUGUAAAGCAUAUAUCUGACAAAAGACUUUUAGCCCUGCUAUUUGGUGCCAUGCGUGGGCUGCUGGGGGGACAGCCAGAUGCCAACCUUUACCCAUGAGUCAGUGCCAUUCACAGACUGCAAGGAAAGAGAACAAGAAGUAAACCCUCCCUGUGAAUCAGUACUAUGUGCAGGUCGCUAUGGGGAGAGCCAGGUGCCUGCCCCUUCCGUCAUGUGGGCUGGGAAACAGCAAGAGGUAACACCACCACCCUCUUGCCAUAAGCCACCUGCUGAUCCAGAGAAACACAGGCUAUGAUGAUAGCUACUGAGGUAACGUACAACUUAAUGCUUGUAGUGUUUAGUGUUUCACCGACUUUGCAGGUCUAAAGCUCGUAGAUCAUCUAUUUAGAGGAUAACAGUACACAAUGUAACAGGAAUCUCCUUCUGACAGUGGUAGCAAUAGUUAAUUCCUUAUCAUCUUGUUUUGCAGUCCUGUAUCAUUUUCAUUGUUUUGUUGGGUUGGGUUUUAUUCUGUUUUAUUUUGUUUUGUUUUGUUUUGUUUUGUUUGAGUUAAUUAUAUCUGAUGGCAUGGGCAACUAUUUCAAAGAUAACAAGAUUUAUUGUAGUAGUCAUUUUGAAUUUACAGUUAUCUUGUUUUGAAGUCCUUUACUACAUUCAUUGUAUUGUUUUUAUUGGUUCUAUUCUGUUCUGUUUUGUUUGAUUUUUACUAUGUCUGAAGGUAUCUUCAGGUAUUUUGAAGACAAAAGGAGGCAUUAUGGUAACCACUGUUGAUUUCCUAUUGUUUUGAAGUCCUGUAUCACUUACACUGGUUUGUUUUUAUUCUGUCUAUUUUGCUUGGUUUUAUUGUCUUUAAAAUAAAACAAAAAAGACUUGUAUUUUACAUUCUUA